rnacentral:rRNA from 1 species
UACGUAGGGGGCUAGCGUUAUCCGGAAUUACUGGGCGUAAAGGGUGCGUAGGUGGUUUCUUAAGUCUGGUGUAAAAGGCAGUGGCUCAACCAUUGUAUGCAUUGGAAACUGGUAGACUUGAGUGCAGGAGAGGAGAGUGGAAUUCCAUGUGUAGCGGUGAAAUGCGUAGAUAUAUGGAGGAACGCCGGUGGCGAAAGCGGCUCUCUGGCCUGUAACUGACACUGAGGCUCGAAAGCGUGGGGAGCAAACAGG